GGUCAUGUGAUAACAGGGGCAUGUGCCGGAUAUUGUCGCCACAAAGAUAAUUUGGUUAUUUUUAAACCAGAUGUGGACAAUAUGUUUGCUUCUACAAUAUCUGGCGACUUGGGCCAAACGGGAGUUCUGCAUGAAGAAAAUGAAAUGUUGCCACUGAUUGGUCCGGAAGGUAAAUGGAUUUCAAGCGGAAAAUACAUACUUCCUGAUAAACCAGGCGGAGCUACUAUAGCCGAGGUUCUUGGGGACCUAGAUGGGUUCAAUAUCGGACUAACCAUUGAAAGGGAUCCUGAAAAAACGAAAAAACUUAGCCUUUACCUCCAGGAAUAUUACAUAGAAGCCAGUAAAAUACGUUUCGAACGUUUUAAAAACAACACAAACCAGUCCGAGUUGUAUGAUGAAACAUUCCGAUUUGUCAAAAACUAUCGUCCGUUUUGGUUCGGUGCCACAAAAGCCAAUAAGGCGGCUAAAAACGCCAUGAUCGCUUUCUGUAAACACUUUAAGACCAUGUAUCAGUGGUGUACACAUAAAUAAAUUCGUGAAAUAUAUACAUUUAUUUGAAGGAAUCGCCACAGUGUAAACAUGAGUUUGAAUAUUUACACGGUUUUCGUAUGUUUUGCUAUAUUUACUAAAAACGUGAUGAUCUACAUGUUUUGCUCUUGAAAUCGAUUGAGGUUUUGAUAAAAGCACCUUGUUGACGAGGAUUAUCUUUAUAACAUAAUGCUAACAUAUUAAAAAAAACUUUUUCAGUAAACGUAAAUACCCGGUAAACGCAUUUGGUAAAACGCUGACAACGCCUUUAAAGGUAUAAAGUUAACGUCAUUUUUUAUAUUUUUGUAGGACUUGCUUUAAAUAAUGCAUAAUGAAAAUUAUUUCUUCAAAAGAGUUCUCAUUUCACUUUUUUUUCGAUUACCAGUUUAAACACGUUACCAUUCUAGAUAAUGUCAUAUAUAGUUAUCAUGAUUCGUUGCAGGAUCAAAUUGUCGACCUGUUCCGGGUUUUGCAAAUCACAAUAGUUUGAAUAGCAGACAACUUUUGUUAUUGAGUUUGCUUUCCUUCCAAAUGUACAUACUUGUUGGUACACACUGAAGUUUGAUGGCGUAAACAUGUAUGAUCAAUUAAGUAUGUUAUUUAAAUAGUCUACGAACUUCUUAUAAUGCAUAUAUUUAAGCAUAAUGGAAAGUGUUUGAUUACUUGAGAAAAGUUAUUCAGGCUCUCGCUGGACAGCUUUGACAAAAUUUGCGCAAUGUUGAUAUUAUGUUUUGAUGGGCUCUUUUUGGCUUUAUAAUACUUGUACAGUCGAAACUCAUUGGCUCGAUAUCUCAUGGCUCGAUAUCCUCGUUGGCUCGAACCAGAUAAAAAGGAGCGAUUAUUUUACUCUUUGUUCAUAUAAAAUUCGAUCGGAUGGCUCGAUAUCAUGAGGGUCGAUAUUUCUCCACGCUCGAUGACAUUUUCGCGGUCCCAAGAAGGAAUUUCAUACUUUGUUUUGUGUGCUUGGGACUGUACUUAUACAACAUCAAACUCAAUGAAUACUUUGUUUUAAUAUGUGUAUUCAAUAUGCCCUUUUUGUUCCUUUACGAAGCCUCGUUAAGCGUUGUAUCUAUAAUUUCCUCAUGUUUGUAAUCUCUGUAUAAUUUAAAUACAUUUUAAACUUCACAGAAGAAGAAAAUACACUUGCAUAUGUAUUUAUUUAUGAGUUUCAAUAGUUCCAUUCUCUUCAUAUGAAUCACACUGGUGGCAUGUAGGCCAGCUGUAAUGCCAACAUGUGCGUGCUGUUCCAAGACAAAAAAUAAAAAAAGUUGUAAAAACGGUAUAUCUGUGAGAGUGAAGCUUUAAACAGAAAUAAAAAAAACAUUCCUAAACAUGUUGUACUAUAAACAUUCAGACAAUUGUGUAUUAAAGGCAAAGUAGCAUAUGCAUGUCUCUAUUGCAGGUUUAAAUUUAUUAAUAUUCUGAAAGUGAACAGCCUAUCUUUGCUACAGCUCCAGCUGACUACAUUGUUAUCCUUUUCACCAGUCAUUAUGGCCUUCAGCUGAUGGUCAGCACGAGUAAGCCCAGAUGUGGAGUUUUGCCUACUACACGGCCAAAUGUUCGAAUAUUGAGAUGGGAGGAAAACGCAGCCAGGGUGAUAAGCCCGGCCAGAUAAUGUAUGGGAACACCUCUAUCGACAACACAAACAUGUACACUCUUUUGGGUAUCUUACAGCUGCCCAUUGGAAAACUACCAUAUGACAUUGAUGAUGUCUGACAAUAUGUUGUAUGAACUUUAUUUUAAAUGCCCUUGUCAUGCGUAUCUUUUAUCAUUUUACUGGUUUAUAUAUACUCAGAAGAAAAAGUUUA